rnacentral:rRNA from 1 species
UCCUACGGGACGCAGCAGUGAGGAAUAUUGGUCAAUGGUCGGGAGACUGAACCAGCCAAGCCGCGUGAGGGAUGAAGGUACAGAGUAUCGUAAACCUCUUUUGUCAGGGAACAAAGGCGGGGACGCGUCCCCGGAUGAGUGUACCUGAAGAAAAAGCAUCGGCUAACUCUGUGCCAGCAGCCGCGGUAAUACGGAGGAUUCUAGCGUUAUCCGGAUUUAUUGGGUUUAAAGGGUGCGCCUGCGGUCUGUUUAGUCCGCGGUCAAAGCCCGGGGCUCAACCCCGGCCCGCCUUUGCAACUGGCAUU